UAGGGAAUCUUCGGCAAUGGACGAAAGUCUGACCGAGCAACGCCGCGUGAGUGAAGAAGGUUUUCGGAUCGUAAAACUCUGUUGUUAGAGAAGAACAAGGGUGAGAGUAAACUGUUCACCCCUUGACGGUAUCUAACCAGAAAGCCACGGCUAACUACGUGUCAG
rnacentral:rRNA from 1 species